CUGCAGCAGCCCUCCAGUUCAUUCUCCACUUCCCCGUCGCGAGUCAUCGCUCUCGUGUUUGCUGCGCAGCAAACAGCACGUUGGGAUGCCCCCCUGGUGUUCGCUGUUUUUGCGCAAUCCCAGCAUCGACGCCGUUCACCCCGAGAACCCCAUGUUUUGCGUGGAGAAGGCAAGUCGUUCAACGCUCGUCGGAUGUUCGGAGCGAUGCACAAAUCGGAAUCGCCAUCGUCCUUACAAACACCGAUUGGGUUUGUUUAUGGACCGAGAGAUGACGCUGAUGCAAGUGGUGUGGUGCCAACCACAAGAUGUCGUUGGUGGACAACCUGA
rnacentral:misc_RNA from 1 species